AAUAGAUACCCCGGUAGUCCACCCCGUAAACGUUGGGAACUAGUUGUGGGGUCCUUUCCACGGAUUCCGUGACGCAGCUAACGCAUUAAGUUCCCCGCCUGGGGAGUACGGCCGCAAGGCUAAAACUCAAAGGAAUUGACGGGGACCCGCACAAGCGGCGGAGCAUGCGGAUUAAUUCGAUGCAACGCGAAGAACCUUACCAAGGCUUGACAUACACCAGAACACCCUAGAAAUAGGGGACUCUUUGGACACUGGUGAACAGGUGGUGCAUGGUUGUCGUCAGCUCGUGUCGUGAGAUGUUGGGUUAAGUCCCGCAACGAGCGCAACCCUCGUUCUAUGUUGCCAGCACGUAAUGGUGGGAACUCAUGGGAUACUGCCGGGGUCAACUCGGAGGAAGGUGGGGAUGACGUCAAAUCAUCAUGCCCCUUAUGUCUUGGGCUUCACGCAUGCUACAAUGGCCGGUACAAAGGGCUGCAAUACCGUGAGGUGGAGCGAAUCCCAAAAGCCGGUCCAGUUCGGAUUGAGGUCUGCAACUCGACCUCAUG
rnacentral:rRNA from 1 species